UACAGAGGGGGCAAGCGUUGUUCGGAAUUACUGGGCGUAAAGGGCGCGUAGGUGGCCUUCUAAGUUGAACGUGAAAUCCCUGGGCUCAACCCAGGAACUGCGUCCAAGACUGGGAGGCUUGAAUCCGGGAGAGGGAUGCGGAAUUCCAGGUGUAGCGGUGAAAUGCGUAGAUAUCUGGAGGAAUACCGGUGGCGAAGGCGGCAUCCUGGACCAUUACUGACGCUUAAGCGCGAAAGCUAGGGGAGCAAACGGGG
rnacentral:rRNA from 1 species